rnacentral:rRNA from 1 species
GAUGAACGCUGGCGGCGUGCCUAAUACAUGCAAGUCGAGCGAACAGAUGAGGAGCUUGCUCCUCUGACGUUAGCGGCGGACGGGUGAGUAACACGUGGAUAACCUACCUAUAAGACUGGGAUAACUUCGGGAAACCGGAGCUAAUACCGGAUAAUAUAUUGAACCGCAUGGUUCAAUAGUGAAAGACGGUUUUGCUGUCACUUAUAGAUGGAUCCGCGCCGCAUUAGCUAGUUGGUAAGGUAACGGCUUACCAAGGCGACGAUGCGUAGCCGACCUGAGAGGGGGAACGGCCACACGGGAACGGAAGCACGGGCCAAACUCCUACGGGGGGCGGCGGGAGGGAAACUUCCGAAAUGGGGGAAAGCUGGACGGGGCAACCCCGGGGGGGGGAGGAAGGUUUUGGGAUCGUAAAACCCGUCUAAUAGGGAAAAAAAAAUGUUAGAGUAAAGAUGCAAGGCUUGACGGUACCUAAAAAGAAAGCCCCGGCUAACUACGUG